UACGGAAGGCAGCAGUGGGGAAUAUUGCACAAUGGGCGAAAGCCUGAUGCAGCUAUGCCGCGUGUAUGAAGAAGGCCUUAGGGUUGUAAAGUACUUUCAUCGGGGAGGAAAAACAAAACUAAUAAUUUUAUUUCUUGACGUUACCCGAAAAAGAAGCACCGGCUAACUCCGUGCCAGCAGCCGCGGUAAUACGGAGGGUGCUAGCGUUAAUCAGAAUUACUGGGCGUAAAGAGCACGUAGGUGGUUUUUUUAAGUCAGAUGUGAAAUCCCUGGGCUUAACCUGGAACUGCAUUUUGAAACUGAAAUACUAGAGUAUCGUAGAGGGAGGUAGAAUCUAGGUGUAGCGGUGAAAUGCGUAGAUAUCUGGAGGAAUACCUGUGGCGAAAGCGGCCUCCUAAACGAAUACUGACACUGAGGUGCGAAAGCGUGGGGAGCAAACAGGGAUUAGAUACC
rnacentral:rRNA from 1 species